rnacentral:rRNA from 1 species
GACGAACGCUGGCGGCGUGCUUAACACAUGCAGGUCGAACCAUGAAUCUGGAGCUUGCUCCAGUGGAUUAGUGGCGAACGGGUGAGUAACACGUGAGCAAUCUGCCCUUGACUCUGGGAUAACUGCAGGAAACUGUAGCUAAUACCGGAUACUUUCACUGGAAGGCAUCUUCUGGUGAAGAAAGAAUUUCGGUCAAGGAUGAGCUCGCGGCCUAUCAGCUUGUUGGUGAGGUAACGGCUCACCAAGGCGACGACGGGUAGCCGGCCUGAGAGGGUGCCCGGCCCCACUGGGACUGGGACACGGCGCGGACCCCUACGGGAGGGAGCAGUGGGGAAUAUUGCACAAUGGGCGAAAGCCUGAUGCAGCAACGCCGCUUGAGGGAUGUAGGCCUUCGGGUUGUAAACCUCUUGUAGCAGGGAAGAAGCGAAAGUGGCGGUACCUGCAGAAAAAGCACCGGCUAACUACGUGCCAGCCGCCGCCGUAA